ACGGGAGGCAGUAGUGGGGAAUAUUGCACAAUGGGGGAAACCCUGAUGCAGCGACGCCGCGUGAGUGAAGAAGUUAUUCGUAAUGUAAAGCUCUAUCAGCAGGGAAGAAAAUGACGGUACCUGAUUAAGAAGCCCCGGCUAACUACGUGCCAGCAGCCGCGGUAAUACGUAGGGGGCAAGCGUUAUCCGGAUUUACUGGGUGUAAAGGGAGCGUAGACGGCUUUGUAAGUCUGAUGUGAAAGGCAGGGGCUCAACUCCUGGACUGCAUUGGAAACUACAGAGCUUGAGUGCCGGAGAGGUAAGCAGAAUUCCUAGUGUAGCGGUGAAAUGCGUAGAUAUUAGGAGGAACACCAGUGGCGAAGGCGGCUUACUGGACGGUAACUGACGUUGAGGCUCGAAAGCGUGGGGAGCAAACAGGAUUAGAUACCCUGGUA
rnacentral:rRNA from 1 species